rnacentral:rRNA from 1 species
UACGUAGAAGACUAGUGUUAUUCAUCUUUAAUAGGUUUAAAGGGUACCUAGACGGUAUAAUUAGUCUAAAAUAAGAUACGGUUAUACUAGAGUUAUAUAUGAGGAGGUGAGUAUUUAUGGAGUAGAGCUGAAAUUCGAUCAUCCCAUGACGACUGGUAUCGGCGAAAGCAACCUUUUAUCUAAUAACUGACGUUGAGGGACGAAGGCUCGGGUAACGAACAGG